rnacentral:rRNA from 1 species
UACGUAGGUGGCAAGCGUUGUCCGGAAUUAUUGGGCGUAAAGCGCGCGCAGGCGGUUCUUUAAGUCUGGUGUGAAAGCCCACGGCUCAACCGCGGAGGGUCAUUGGAAACUGGGGAACUUGAGUACAGAAGAGGAAAGCGGAAUUCCACGUGUAGCGGUGAAAUGCGUAGAGAUGCGGAGGAACACCAGUGGCGAAGGCGGCUCACUGGCCCGGUACUGACGCUGAGGUGCGAAAGCGUGGGGAGCAAACAGG